GGCUACACAUGUGCUACAAUGGGUAGAACAGAGAGUCGCAAAGCUGUGAAGUGGAGCUAAUCUCAGAAAACUAUUCUUAGUUCGGAUUGUACUCUGCAACUCGAGUACAUGAAGUUGGAAUCGCUAGUAAUCGCGAAUCAGCAAUGUCGCGGUGAAUACGUUCUCGGGUCUUGUACACACCGCCCGUCACACCACGAGAGUUGGUUGCACCUGAAGUAGCAGGCCUAACCGUAAGGAGGGAUGCUCCGAGGGUGUGAUUAGCGAUUGGGGUGAAGUCGUAACAAGGUAUCCGUACGGGAACGU
rnacentral:rRNA from 1 species